UACAGAGGUGGCAAGCGUUGUUCGGAAUUACUGGGCGUAAAGGGCGCGUAGGCGGCCUUGUAAGUCCUGUGUGAAAUCUCCCGGCUUAACUGGGAAACUGCAUCGGAAACUGAUCGGCUUGAAGGUGGGAGAGGGUAGUGGAAUUCCCGGUGUAGUGGUGAAAUGCGUAGAUAUCGGGAGGAACACCAGUGGCGAAGGCGACUACCUGGCCCAUUCUUGACGCUGAGGCGCGAAAGCUAGGGGAGCGAACGGG
rnacentral:rRNA from 1 species